GCAUGCAGGUGAGAAGGGAAGAUACGUGUAAUCUGCACGUCUGCCACCAUUCCUUGUUACUCCUUUUUCGUAUCCCAUGAGCACAGCACUCCAGCGGACCUACCCAAAAUAUAUAGGAGUUCAGUGAAACUCAAACAGCACACUUCUGGUCAGCCUAUACAGUUUCUGUCCUGGUGAGGAGCAUGGUUACCAACAGGCAAGAUCUUCUGGCCUUGAAGUUUCACUUGAGUUAAAAGAGCUCAUCUCAGGACUUUCUGAAUUUUCAGCCCAUAUGACAUGGAAGAAGAGUUAGAAGGGGAAUCUGACUGCUUGGAUCAGGGACUGUCUGGCUGGUGGAACUUGAAUGUAUACAACACUCUUCAUUUGCAUGUUUUGACAUUUUAAAAAAUGUUUUCACUUUCCUUAUCUACUUUGACUCUAAUGACAUCCUAAAAGGUGCUGUUGUCCUCUUUCUGGACCUUAGAGAUGUACAGUGCACCACUUUGAGGAUCAAGUCUGACCCUGCCUUUAAAUUUGGAUUCGAAGUACUUAGAUUUUCUGGAAUCCCAUUCUACAAUCUUCUGGUCGAAAGUAUAAAACCAGCACUGGCUGGCUUGAGAAAUAAAGGGACAGAGUACAAAAGAGAGAAAUUUUAAAGCUGGGCAUCUGGGAGGAGACAUCACAUGUCG
rnacentral:antisense_RNA from 1 species